CUGCAAGAACUUUACCCAGGGGACUUAACACCCCGCAAGCAAUACACAACCCAUAGACAGCGGAUUCAUGCUUCCCUCAAGUCUUCUCAGACACUGAAUACCAUUCAAAGUAAAGGCUUUGACAGGCUAAAGAGAAUACCACAGUAGAAGCGUCAGGUGAUCUUUCUGGAUGCUUGAGUGAUAAGGGGAAACAUCUCUCUUCCUGCUCUGUGGAUUAUGGAACCCCAGGCUUGUUCCUUGUGCUGGUUUCAGAGGGACCUUCCUGGGCUUCCCAGGUGGCAUUAGUGGUAUAAAACCUGCUUGCCAGUGCAGAAGAUGUAAGAGACGUGGGUUCGAGCUCUAGGUCGGGAAGAUCCCCCGGAGGAGGGCAUGGCAACCCACUCCAGUGUUCUUGCUUGGAGAAUCCCGUGGACUGAGGAGCCUGGUGGGCUACAGUCCAUGGGGUCACACAGAGUCAGACACAGCUGCACGCACUCUCGCCGAGGGUUUUCCUAACACUGGCACUGGCCCACUCAGUAAUUAGCAUAACUUUCUUUGUCACCCCACGGCAAGUGAGGUCCCAAGACUGCGGAAAGCCCCAGUGUGGAG